AUCCCAUGAUGUGGCCACUUCCGCAGCAAUUCCUUAAACCUUUCUCACGUAUCAUAUAAAGUCUCUGACUCCAACUGGUAAAAAGAAGAGAUACCAUUCUGCAUCU